rnacentral:lncRNA from 1 species
GCCAUUUUUAUGGAAUGGUCUUUUAUGUUCUUAAUGUUAGUGUUUUUGAAAAACUGAAUGGUGAUCAGAAAAUUUCAAUGUGAUAUUUAGAAGGCUUUGAGGAUGAAAAGAUAUUUGUCAUAUUUUCAACACCAGCUCGCGGAAAAUGUAGACUUUCAGAGUCUGCGGAGCGCUGAUGUGAGUCAACGUAGCGUAAAGUAAAUACUUAGCUAGGAAAAUGUCUUCAGAUUCAGGUCUGUGCUGGUUUUACUUUUCCGUAAUCAUCUUCUUAGGAAAUAUAAUUGCUUUGUGUCUGCUUACGUUAAACUCAGUUCUUACAUCAAGCAUUUGUUCCUUCGUGCGAGGUUUACCCGGACGAUGUACAGCAUGUGCCAUGCCAUGAAUAAUGGAUGAUAACCUACAGGUUCAGAAAAAUGCAGAGACGAUGGAGUGUGUUGUUUCUAGACUCUCCCUGAGAUUCAGAGCCAUUUGCUGACUGCAAGAUCUCAAUUAAUUUAGAAAAUCCAAAAUUUUAUCGGUACAUGGAGGCGCUAGAUAGGAAUACCCUCUAAAGAAAAUGGAUGGAGAAGUUGCCUUGGGGAAGAGAACCAGAUGGACCAUGUGGCUUUUACUUAGUCUUAAAGGUACAGAAGAAAGAAGCAAGCCUUUAGGAUCCUACUCACUUGAUUUGUAGGAAGGAAGAGGCAAUGGGACACGUGAAUGAAGUUAAUAGGACACAGGACUCAAUUCUGGAUGCCAUGUUGCAUUUGGUUAUCCCGUAUUAGGCGUUUUCAAUCUUUGAAAGUUUCCUGGUCUUUUAAAUCAUGAUUGACUGUUUUGAAGAGUACUGGAUGUAGAGUUUGUAGAAUGAUCCUUGACUUGGCUAUUUUCUCAGGAUUCGAUUGGGGUUAUGGAUUUAGGGGAAGAAUAUCCAAGAGGUGAAGUGCCCUUUCCAUUGUCUCAUAUUGGGAGGGAUAUGAAAUCAACAAAACUCAUGACUGGUUGUGUUAAUCUCGAUUAAGUGGCUAAUUGGUAUCUGUCACAUUUCUCCACUGUAGUUAUUAUUUUUCUCUUUCUGUAUGUAUUCUUCAAAAGUGAGUCACUCAGGGAAGACAAUUUAAGCUCCUCUUCCUAGAGGCAGCAUUAUCAAAGAAUUUAUGGACUUGUGUUAAAAACCACCGCAGUAAUUAACAAAAAAUUGGAGGGAAGUACUUUGAGGCUAAGCAGAUAUUCUCUGUAUCAACAUUUUCCCCACUUAUUUUAACACUCAUCAAUGGAUUUUGC